GUGUCAGCCGCCGCGGUAAUACAGAGGGUGCUAGCGUUAAUCGGAAUUACUGGGCGUAAAGCGUGUGUAGGUGGUUAGAUAAGUUAGAUGUGAAAUCCCCGGGCUUAACCUGGGCAUUGCGUUUAAGACUGUUUAGCUUGAGUACUGUAGAGGAUAGUGGAAUUUCCAGUGUAGCGGUGAAAUGCGUAGAUAUUGGAAGGAACACCAGUGGCGAAGGCGACUAUCUGGACAGAUACUGACACUGAGACACGAAAGCGUGGGGAGCAAACAGGAUUAGAAACCCUAGUAGUCC
rnacentral:rRNA from 1 species